rnacentral:rRNA from 1 species
GACGUAGGGGGCAAGCGUUGUUCGGAAUUAUUGGGCGUAAAGGGCUCGUAGGCGGUUUGUCGCGUCGGGAGUGAAAACUCAGGGCUCAACCCUGAGCGUGCUUCCGAUACGGGCAGACUAGAGGUAUGCAGGGGAGAACGGAAUUCCUGGUGUAGCGGUGGAAUGCGCAGAUAUCAGGAGGAACACCGGUGGCGAAGGCGGUUCUCUGGGCAUUACCUGACGCUGAGGAGCGAAAGCAUGGGGAGCGAACAGG